GAUGAACGCUAGCUACAGGCUUAACACAUGCAAGUCGAGGGACCGGCGCCCGGGUGAGUACCACGUAUCCAACCUGCCCUUUACUCGGGGAUAGCCUUUCGCAAGCAAGAUUACUCCCCGAUGUAAAGGAUGGGGAUGCGUUCCAUUAGGUGGUUGGUGAGGUAACGGCUCACCAAGCCUUCGAUGGAUAGGGGGUCUGAGUGGAAGGCGCCCCACAUUGGAACUGAGAAACGGUCCAAACUCCUACGGGAGGCAGCAGAGAGGAAUAUUGGUCAAUGGGCGGGGGCAUGAUCCAGCAAUGCCGCGUGUCUGAAGAAGGCUUCGGGGUGUAAAGGACUGUUGUCAGGGAAGCGGUACCUGAAGAAUAAGCACCGGCUAACUACGUGCCAGCCGCCGCGGUAAUAC
rnacentral:rRNA from 1 species